rnacentral:misc_RNA from 1 species
UUAUAUUUUUCUGGGUGAAAUUAUUUCAUAUUUUGUUAUGUAUACCAUGGCAUAGAGCAUUUAACUAAUUUUGUUCUUACUAAUAAUAAAUCUACAAUAAAAAGUGUCUUACACCAAGCACUUUUCAUACGAGAGUUGCUCCUCAAUGGCCAAUUCCUCGACCAUGUUUCCAUGGUUAAGGGGAUUGAAAGCUUGGAUCUCAGAACACUUGGUAGGAAGCAGCUGUAUUAUGUUGGGGACGAGCUUGCUGAUCUUUGGAUGAUGAUGAUUGUAUAGACAUUUGAUGAUGUUUACGAGCAAUGACAACUGAAUUUAUCACUUCAUCAAUAGGAUGAAAUACAGAAAGAACUUCAAAUCCUACGAGAUCCCAAGGAUCCACCACAGGAUACAGAAAAGCCCUAGCACCAUGAGCACUCCUCAGCAUUAAAAUAGCCCCAGGAGCCAUGUACUUAGCCAAGUGAUGAAUGACCCUAAUCUUUUCCUCCUUGUCCAUCCCAACAAGAGCUGCCAAGAAAACUACAUCAAAUUCUUUCAAUCCAUUUGCAACAUUCAAGAUAUCAGCUGUGUGAAAGAAGAAUCGUUUGGAGAGGUCAGGGUGAGAAGAGGCCAGGCGAAGAGCCCUGGAAUUGGCUGAUGGGUCAAUAUCAUAGUUGUGGAAAGAGGUAGUGGUGAGGUGCUUGGAGGCUAACACGAUUGCAGUCAGGGGAAGAGGACCAGAACCCACAAAGGCAACUUGGCUUGGGACAAGAGGGUAAUGUUGUUUUAGGAUUGUGAACUCAAGGUGGCUAAGCUUAAGGUAGUUUGAAUAGUAAGGGAAAAUCCUGAGAUGGUCAAGUGGGUUUUCAAAAGAAGCUAAUACGGCAGAGAAAUGAGCCUCCAAGAGACCUUCAGCUUCUCCACAGAGUCUAAUGAGCUUAGAUCUGAUUUCUUGGAUUUUCUUGGAAAGGUUAUUAACAUCAAUAGGGUUUGGUGGCAUGCACGUGAGAAUAAGCUGUGUUAAGAGCAUGUCGACAUCUUUGGAAGGUUUCAAGCUCUCAAGGCUUGAGAUUUGAUCAUAAAAGCUGCAGAUUUUCUGUAUCAAGAGCUCUUCCUGGCAACCCAUGUCGACACUAUGAGGUUAUGUUAUGAUGAGAAAAAAAACAAAAACACUCAAUAGAAUUAGGUAUUGAAACCCAAGUCCCUUUCUCUUCACCAUUAGAGAGGAACCCUUCAAUCAGGUCUUUAUUUAUGGUUUCUCCCCUACGUUUGAUGGUUAACCAUCAAUAAAUGCAUAGUUAACUCACCAUCAUCAUCACUAUAAUAUCCAGAAAUAAUUAUAUAAUUAACCAAUGAUGAAGCAAGCUAGCCACCAUGCAACUGGUUAUUUUUUUUGUUUUUCUUUCAAGACUGAUGUUAACAAUCAGCAUCUCUCACUUCACAUUAGUCUUUGCCAAUUUUAAAUGAAA